rnacentral:rRNA from 1 species
GAUGAACGCUGGCGGCGUGCCUAAUACAUGCAAGUCGAGCGAAUGGAUUAAGAGCUUGCUCUUAUGAAGUUAGCGGCGGACGGGUGAGUAACACGUGGGUAACCUGCCCAUAAGACUGGGAUAACUCCGGGAAACCGGGGCUAAUACCGGAUAACAUUUUGAACCGCAUGGUUCGAAAUUGAAAGGCGGCUUCGGCCGUCACUUAUGGAUGGACACGCGUCGCAUUAGCUAGUUGGUGAGGUAACGGCUCACCAAGGCAACGAUGCGUAGCCGACCUGAGAGGGUGAUCGGCCACACUGGGACUGGGACACGGCCCAGACUCCUACGGGAGGCAGCAGUAGGGAAUCUUCCGCAAUGGACGAAAGUCUGACGGAGCAACGCCGCGUGAGUGAUGAAGGCUUUCGGGUCGUAAAACUCUGUUGUUAGGGAAGAACAAGUGCUAGUUGAAUAAGCUGGCACCUUGACGGUACCUAACCAGAAAGCCACGGCUAACUACGUGCCAGCCGCCGCCGUAA